GAUGAACGCUGGCGGCGUGCUUAACACAUGCAAGUCGAACGAAGCACUUUAAUCGAUUUCUUCGGAUUGAAAUUUUAGUGACUGAGUGGCGGACGGGUGAGUAACGCGUGGGUAACCUGCCUCACACAGGGGGAUAACAGUUGGAAACGGCUGCUAAUACCGCAUAAACGCACAGUACCGCAUGGUACGGUGUGAAAAACUACGGUGGUGUGAGAUGGAACCGCGUCUGAUUAGCUAGUUGGCAGGGCAGCGGCCUACCAAGGCGACGAUCAGUAGCCGACCUGAGAGGGUGACCGGCCACAUUGGGACUGAGACACGGCCCAAACUCCUACGGGAGGCAGCAGUGGGGAAUAUUGCACAAUGGGGGAAACCCUGAUGCAGCGACGCCGCGUGAGCGAAGAAGUAUUUCGGUAUGUAAAGCUCUAUCAGCAGGGAAGAAGAAAUGUCGGUACCUGACUAAGAAGCACCGGCUAAAUACGUGCCAGCCGCCGCUGUAA
rnacentral:rRNA from 1 species